ACUGUUUGGCUGAAAUUAUUUGGAAGUAACUAGAAUAUGUAGUGUAGCGGUGAAAUGCUUAGAGAUUACAUGGAAUACCAAUUGCGAAGGCAGGUUACUACAAAUUGAUUGACGCUGAUGGACGAAAGCGUGGGUAGCGAACAGGAUUAGAUACCCUGGUAGUCCACGCCGUAAACGAUGGAUACUAGCUGUUGGGAGCAAUCUCAGUGGCUAAGCGAAAGUGAUAAGUAUCCCACCUGGGGAGUACGUUCGCAAGAAUGAAACUCAAAGGAAUUGACGGGGGCCCGCACAAGCGGUGGAGCAUGUGGUUUAAUUCGAUGAUACGCGAGGAACCUUACCAAGGCUUAAAUGUAGAUUGACCGGUUUGGAAACAGACUUUUCGCAAGACAAUUUACAAGGUGCUGCAUGGUUGUCGUCAGCUCGUGCCGUGAGGUGUCAGGUUAAGUCCUAUAACGAGCGCAACCCCUGUUGUUAGUUGCCAGCGAGUCAUGUCGGGAACUCUAGCAAGACUGCCAGUGUAAACUGUGAGGAAGGUGGGGAUGACGUCAAAUCAUCACGGCCCUUACGCCUUGGGCUACACACGUGCUACAAUGGCCGGUACAGAGAGCAGCCACUACGCAAGUAGGAGCGAAUCUACAAAACCGGUCUCAGUUCGGAUCGGAGUCUGCAACUCGACUCC
rnacentral:rRNA from 1 species